UACGGAGGGGGCGAGCGUUACUCGGAAUUAUUGGGCGUAAAGGGCGCGUAGGCGGCCCGGUAAGUCAAAGGUGAAAUCCCUCGGCUCAACUGAGGAACUGCCUUUGAAACUGUCGGGCUUGAGGCCGGGAGGGGGUAGCGGAAUUCCCAGUGUAGCGGUGAAAUGCGCAGAUAUCGGGAAGAACACCCGUGGCGAAGGCGGCUCUCUGGGACGGUACUGACGCUGAGACGCGAAAGCGUGGGGAGCGAACAGG
rnacentral:rRNA from 1 species